rnacentral:rRNA from 1 species
AUUGAACGCUGGCGGCAGGCCUAACACAUGCAAGUCGAGCGAGCGGCGGCUGGGUGAGUAAUGUAUGGGGACUGCCCGAUAGAGGGGGCUAACUACUCGAAACGGUAGCUAAUACCGCAUACUAUCGGAUAACCCAUAUGUGAUUAGAUAGUAGGUGAGGUAAUGGCGCACCUAGGCGACGAUCCCUAGCUGGUCUGAGAGGAUGAUCAGCCACACUGGGACUGAGACACGGCCCAGACUCCUACGGAGGCAGCAGUGGGGAAUAUUGCACAAUGGGCGCAAGCCUGAUGCGGCCAUGCCGCGUGUAUGAAGAAGGCCCUAGGGUUGUAAAGUACUUUCAGUCGGGAGGCGUUACCGACAGAAGAAGCACCGGCUAACUCCGUGCCAGCAGCCGCGGUAAUUC